UACGGGGGGGGCAAGCGUUGUUCGGAAUUACUGGGCGUAAAGGGCCAGUAGGCGGCCAACUAAGUCGGAUGUGAAAUCCCCAGGCUUAACCUGGGAACUGCAUCCGAUACUGGAUGGCUUGAAUUCGGGAGAGGGAUGCAGAAUUCCAGGUGUAGCGGUGAAAUGCGUAGAUAUCUGGAGGAAUACCGGUGACGAAGGCGGCAUCCUGGACCGACAUUGACGCUGAACGGCGAAAGCUAGGGGAGCAAACGGG
rnacentral:rRNA from 1 species